rnacentral:rRNA from 1 species
GAGGAAUAUUGGUCAAUGGGCGAUGGCCUGAACCAGCCAAGUAGCGUGAAGGAUGACUGCCCUAUGGGUUGUAAACUUCUUUUAUAAAGGAAUAAAGUCGGGUAUGCAUACCCGUUUGCAUGUACUUUAUGAAUAAGGAUCGGCUAACUCCGUGCCAGCAGCCGCGGUAAUACGGAGGAUCCGAGCGUUAUCCGGAUUUAUUGGGUUUAAAGGGAGCGUAGAUGGAUGUUUAAGUCAGUUGUGAAAGUUUGCGGCUCAACCGUAAAAUUGCAGUUGAUACUGGAUGUCUUGAGUGCAGUUGAGGCAGGCGGAAUUCGUGGUGUAGCGGUGAAAUGCUUAGAUAUCACGAAGAACUCCGAUUGCGAAGGCAGCCUGCUAAGCUGCAACUGACAUUGAGGCUCGAAAGUGUGGGUAUCAAACAGGAUUAGAUACCCUGGUAGUCCCACACGGUAAACGAUGAAUACUCGCUGUUUGCGCAU